AGCCUUAUAAUCAAAAUUAAUGAUUUCAAAUUGCAAGUUUGACAGUGGGACUCCCUAAGGCUU
rnacentral:tRNA from 1 species